rnacentral:rRNA from 1 species
UACAGAGGGUGCAAGCGUUGUUCGGAAUUAUUGGGCGUAAAGCGCGUGUAGGCGGCUUAGCAAGUCGGGCGUGAAAGCCCUCGGCUCAACCGAGGAAGUGCACCCGAAACUGCUGAGCUUGAGUGCCGGAGAGGAUGGCGGAAUACCCCAAGUAGAGGUGAAAUUCGUAGAUAUGGGGUGGAACACCGGUGGCGAAGGCGGCCAUCUGGACGGUAACUGACGCUGAGACGCGAAAAGCGUGGGUAGCAAACAGG